GACAGAGGAGGCUAGCGUUGUUCGGAAUCACUGGGCUUAAAGCGCGUGUAGGCGGCGGAGCAAGUGUCGUGUGAAAUCCCUCGGCUCAACCGAGGAACUGCACGGCAAACUACUUCGCUUGAGCGUGGUAGAGGUGCCUGGAACUCUCGGUGGAGCGGUGAAAUGCGUUGAUAUCGAGAGGAACGCCGGAAGCGAAAGCGAGGCACUGGGCCGCUGCUGACGCUGAGACGCGAAAGCGUGGGGAGCAAAC
rnacentral:rRNA from 1 species